AUUGAACGCUGGCGGCAGGCUUAACACAUGCAAGUCGAGCGAGCGGCGGACGGGUGAGUAAUGUCUGGGAAACUGCCUGAUGGAGGGGGAUAACGACUGGAAACGGUAGCUAAUACCGCACACCAUCAGAUGUGCCCAGAUGGGAUUAGCUAGUGGGUGGGGUAAUGGCCCACCAAGGCGACGCUCCCUAGCUGGUCUGAGAGGAUGACCAGCCACACUGGGACUGAGACACGGUCCAGACUCCUACGGGAGGCAGCAGUGGGGAAUUUUGCACAAUGGGCGCAAGCCUGAUGCAGCCAUGCCGCGUGGGUGAAGAAGGGCUUCGGGUUGUAAAGCACUUUCAGCGGGGAGGCGUUACUCGCAGAAGAAGCACCGGCUAACUCCGUGCCAGCCGCCGCGGUAAUAC
rnacentral:rRNA from 1 species